ACCCUGAUGUCAGAGUCUUCACUUUUGCUGCUGGGGAAACAAGUCCUGGAACUAAACUUGUAGUGUCAUUGCUGACUGCUUCUGGUACCUGUCUGGUGAAGCAGGUACUUUGUUAGCCCCAUCCUGCAGGUUCUGACAGCUGCCCCAAAAGCCCAUGCUCUUCACCCUUGCUGCCUCAAAGACCAUUACACAAACUCCUCCUGGGUUUAGCCACCAUCAAGUCACUGUUGGGAACAUGGCAGGAGCACCAAGCUGUGCAUUUCAUUUGAUUCUCGACAUCUGGCCCUCCCUGCACUAGCCAUUCUCAGGGAGGAUGGGUCAGGAAAAUGCUAGUUUAUCAAAUACUGGCGAUUUCUACUGCACUAGUCAGUGCCUUUAAACUGCCCUUUCAAAGGCUUUCUUUACAUUGUUUCCUUGAUUAUUUGUAAAAUAAAGAAAACCAUUUUUUAUGUUGAUUGGGGAUAGAGUUUGCCCUCCUGGUCUUGUCUCCUGGACCUUUGUCCUCAGUGUCUCUGACCAUCUUUGGGGAGGGAGUGUUGUCCUCCUUUUCAGUGAGCCAGAGAGUAAAUGGAUGCAAAACCUGUGCAGAGUCCACAGGUGACAGAGUAGGAUCUGGAACCUGCGGCUGGAGCCAAAAGAACCACCAUAGUCAUAGUGUGUGCUGUUCCCUCCUUUUGGGAACAACAGACAGCCUUACUCACAUCCCAGGGCUUCCUCCUGUGGGUUUGGCUGGUAGAGUAUCUGCAUUGGGUAUCGGGUUUCAGCUGUGCCAUCACCAGAGCGGUGAAACACCUGGAGGCAGAACAGCACACAGGUGGCACAUGGUUCACCGACAGAGUUCUCACCCGCCAUGAGGAAGCCUGGGACUUCAUUAUGACCAGUGUAGUAGCUUGAGCACUUUUGAGAGCUGCUGGAAACAGGAAAUUUGGAUGAUUUGCACAGUAGGGGAAAGCUGCGAAGUGGCAGGAUUGCCUGCACUGAAGAUAAACAAUGUCAAAUUUGGGAAAUAUCUCUUAUAUUUUUAACAUAGACACAUAAUUAAAAUGAUAUAUCCA